UGUGAAUUAGUGUAUUAGCACUUUAAUCUUUGAUAUUAAAAGGUAAGUUUAAACUUUAUUUACAA
rnacentral:tRNA from 1 species